GGAGAGAAGAACCGAGAGAGACUCUGAGUACAGCGGCAGCAGGAGAAAUAGCACAAACCAGCUAGAGCCCAGUGCAGGACACUUCAGAAUCCAACUGAGAUGUCCAGAGAGAUCUCCACGUGAAACCAGGAUAACAAUCCCAGAUGACGAAAAUAUCUGCUGAGUUAAAAAAACAGAGCCACUCUGUGAAGCUCCUUGUUAAAGAGAAUGUUUCAUAACACAGAAUUUACAGAGGCAACAAGAAAGAGUUUAAACUGUGCCGAAGGCAUCUCUCACACAUCACCUGGCAGCUGUCAGCCAGAGGCCCAGCAAUGUCUGGAAGGCUGGAACCACCAUGAUGUACCAAAAAAUGAUCAGAGUGACUGAAGUCCCCGAAGAAGGAAGACAGAGACAACAGUCACAGGAAGGAGACAAGUGGGACCAGCCCAAAGGACAGGCUGAGGAGCAGAGGCAAGGAGAUGCACAGCACUGCUGGAAUUCACUCAUGCCCAGCAUCACUGCCUCCUUGGAAGCAAUUUGGGAGACAAGGAAAUGAAAGGGCUGGACAUGAAGAAAUAAGAAUGAUCAUAUGAAGAAACAAUUUAUGCAGCUUUCAACUUGCUGUGUGGGUUCUAUAUCAUUCCCCCAGUGGAGGACAGACAUGUGCUACUGAGCUGAAGUUGCUUCUUUCACGUUUGUGUUUGAUCUCAUAGAAAUGGCCCGUGACAUAUGAGCUACUAGAAAGAGAAGCAUCUAAUAAUGUUGCAACAAAAUUGGAAAAGACAAAACUGCAAAUAAAGUGUACACUACCAUUACUCAA